rnacentral:rRNA from 1 species
GAUGAACGCUAGCUACAGGCUUAACACAUGCAAGUCGAGGGGAAACGACAUCGAAAGCUUGCUUUUGAUGGGCGUCGACCGGCGCACGGGUGAGUAACGCGUAUCCAACCUGCCCACCACUUGGGGAUAACCUUGCGAAAGUAAGACUAAUACCCAAUGAUAUCCCACGAAGACAUCUGAAUGGGAUUAAAGAUUUAUCGGUGAUGGAUGGGGAUGCGUCUGAUUAGCUUGUUGGCGGGGUAACGGCCCACCAAGGCAACGAUCAGUAGGGGCUCUGAGAGGAAGGUCCCCCACAUUGGAACUGAGACACGGUCCAAACUCCUACGGGAGGCAGCAGUGAGGAAUAUUGGGCAAGGGGCGAGAGCCUGAACCAGCCAAGUAGCGUGCAGGAAGACGGCCCUAUGGGUUGUAAACUGCUUUUAUAAGGGAAUAAAGUGGGUCACGUGUGACUUUUUGCAUGUACCUUAUGAAUAAGGACCGGCUAAUUCCGUG